GACGAACGCUGGCGGCGUGCUUAACACAUGCAAGUCGAACGGAGUGGCGAACGGGUGAGUAUUACGUGAGUAACCUGCCCUCAACUGUGGUAUAAGCCUGGGGAUCUGGGUCUAAUACUGCAUAGUUGGGGAUGGGCUCGCGGCUUAUCAGCUUGUUGGUGGGGUGAUGGCCUACCAAGGCGUUGACGGGUAGCCGGCCUGAGAGGGUGAUCGGCAACAUUGGGACUGGGAUACGGCCCAGACUCCUACGGGGGGCAGCAGGGGGGGAUAUUGCAAAAGGGGGGCAAGCCUGAUGCGGCGACGCGGCGGGAGGGAUGAGGGCUUUCGGGUUGUAAACCUCUUUCGGUACAGAACGGGUAUGUGCAGAAGAAGCGCCGGCUAACUACGUGCCAGCAGCCGCGGUAAUAC
rnacentral:rRNA from 1 species